rnacentral:rRNA from 1 species
GACGAACGCUGGCGGCGUGCUUAACACAUGCAAGUCGAGCGGUAAGGCCCCUUCGGGGGUACACGAGCGGCGAACGGGUGAGUAACACGUGGGUGACCUGCCCUCAGCUCUGGGAUAAGCCUGGGAAACUGGGUCUAAUACCGGAUAUGACUCCAUGACGCAUGUCGUGGGGUGGAAAGCCUUGUGCGGCUGGGGAUGGGCCCGCGGCCUAUCAGCUUGUUGGUGGGGUGAUGGCCUACCAAGGCGACGACGGGUAGCCGGCCUGAGAGGGCGACCGGCCACACUGGGACUGAGACACGGCCCAGACUCCGUACGGGAGGCAGCAGGUGGGGAAUCUUGCGCAAUGGGCGAAAGCCUGACGCAGCGACGCCGCGUGAGGGAUGACGGCCUGG